ensembl:snoRNA LOC120095742 small nucleolar RNA SNORA48
ACCCCCUGGCAAUGAACUAAGAAACACCUUGUUGGUGUCGUUGAUCUUAUAUCAGUCAGGGGAAGAACAAAUGGCAGUCCUUUGUUUGUCCUGGCUUGGUGGCCAAAGCUGUCUUAUGCUUAGGACUCCUAA